GAUGAAGAACGCAGCGAAAUGCGAUAAGUAAUGUGAAUUGCAGAAUUCAGUGAAUCAUCGAAUCUUUGAAUGCACAUUGCGCCCGCCAGUAUUCUGGCGGGCAUGCCUGUCCGAGCGUCAUUUCAACCAUCAAGCCCCGGGCUUGUGUUGGGGACCUGCGUCCGACGCAGGCCCUGAAAACCAGUGGCGGGCUCGCUGUCCACACCGAGCGUAGUAACUAACCUCGCUAUGGAGUGGCGCGGGCGCCUGCCGUAAAACCCCCAAUUUCACAAGGUUGACCUCGGAUCAGGUAGGAAUACCCGCUGAACUUAAGCAUAUCAAUAAGCGGAGGA
rnacentral:misc_RNA from 1 species